AUUGAACGCUGGCGGCAGGCCUAACACAUGCAAGUCGAGCGAGCGGCGGACGGGGGAGUAAUGUAUGGGGACUGCCCGCUAGAGGGGGAGAACUACUGGAAACGGUAUAUAAUACCGCAUCCUAUCGGAUAACCCAUAUGGGAUUAGCUAGUAGGGGAGGUAAUGGCUCACCUAGGCGACGAUCCCUCGCUGGUCUGAGAGGAUGAUCAGCCACCCUGGGACUGAGACACGGCCCAGACGCCUACGGAGGCAGCAGUGGGGAAUAUUGCACAAUGGGCGCAAGCCUGAUGCAGCCAUGCCGCGUGUAUGAAGAAGGCCCUAGGGUUGUAAAGUACUUUCAGUCGGGAGGCGUUACCGACAGAAGAAGCACCGGCUAACUCCGUGCCAGCAGCCGCGGUAAUAC
rnacentral:rRNA from 1 species